AUUGAACGCUGGCGGCAGGCCUAACACAUGCAAGUCGAACGAGAGGCGGACGGGUGAGUAAGGUAUGGGAAACUGCCUGAUGGAGGGGGAUAACUACUGGAAAAGGUAGCUAAUACCGCAUACCAUCAGAUGCGCCCAGAUGGGAUUAGCUAGUUGGUGGGGUAAAGGCUCACCAAGGCGACGAUCCCUAGCUGGUCUGAGAGGAUGACCAGACACACUGGAACUGAGACACGGUCCAGACUCCUACGUGAGGCAGCAGUGGGGAAUAUUGCACAAUGGGCGCAAGCCUGAUGCAGCCAUGCCGCGUGUAUGAAGAAGGCCUUCGGGUUGUAAAGUACUUUCAGCGGGGAGGCGUUACCCGCAGAAGAAGCACCGGCUAACUCCGUGCCAGCAGCCGCGGUAAUAC
rnacentral:rRNA from 1 species